rnacentral:rRNA from 1 species
UCGGGAAUUUUGGGCAAUGGGCGAAAGCCUGACCCAGCAACGCCGCGUGAGGGAUGAAGUAUUUCGGUAUGUAAACCUCGAAAGAAUGGGAAGAAUAAAUGACGGUACCAUUUAUAAGCUCCGGCUAACUACGUGCCAGCAGCCGCGGUAAUACGUGGGGAGCAAGCGUUGUUCGGAUUUACUGGGCGUAAAGGGCGCGUAGGCGGCGCGGUAAGUCACUUGUGAAAUCUCUGAGCUUAACUCAGAACGGCCAAGUGAUACUGCUGUGCUAGAGUGCGGAAGAGGCAACCGGAAUUCUUGGUGUAGCGGUGAAAUGCGUAGAUAUCAAGAGGAACACCUGAGGCGAAGGCGGGUUGCUGGGCCGACACUGACGCUGAUGCGCGAAAGCGUGGGUAGCAAACA